rnacentral:rRNA from 1 species
CGUAGGUGGCAAGCGUUGUCCGGAUUUACUGGGCGUAACGUGCGCGCAGGCGGUUGUUUAAGGCGAAUGGGAAAGCCCCCGGCUCAACUGGGGAGGGUCAUUCGAUACUGAUCGACUUGAAGGCAGGAGAGGGAAGUGGAAUUCCGGGUGUAGUGGUGAAAUGCGUAGAUAUCCGGAGGAACACCAGUGGCGAAGGCGACUUCCUGGCCUGUUCUUGACGCUGAGGCGCGAAAGCUGGGGGAGCAAACGGG